CACGCUUAUAGGCCCAGGCUAGAGCCAGGAGGACAAGUGUAAUGGAAUCUCAGAAUUGACUAAUUAAGAGAAGCCAUCGUAUUGUAAGAGGGAGAGGGAGCAGGAGUUCAGGAGGAAGAAGGAGCUGUAUGAGGGGAACCAGUCUGAGGGAGAGAAGAGCCAAGAAGAGAGAGAGGAGAAGAACAAUGAACUGAGGAUGAAAAAAGUGACAGAGGAGGAGGAAGCAAAGGUAGAAAUGAUGGACAGAACAAAGGACGAGAUGAGGGAGGAGCCCAGACUAGAGGAGAAAAGUGCUGAUGAGGAGGAGAGCACCAAAGAGCUAGAGGAGCUCCUCGCGGCUGAAAUCACAAAGAAAGCGGAGGAGGAAAACGAUGACAGGGAACUUGAGGAACUGCUCAAAGAGCUUAAAAAGAAAAGGUACGAGUCGGCGAAGGAAAAAGAGCUCCAGCAAGGGUCAGAAGCUGAGGAGGAGAGAAGGAAGAAAGAGGAGGAAGAGAAGGAGGAACAGAGAAAGGGAGAGAAAAGGCGUCUAGAAAUCCUUGAAAGUGAAGAGAAGAAACGCAGCGAAGAGAGAAAGAACAACGAGGUGGAGCUCCUCGUGGAGAAAGAGAAGGUGGAGCGAGAGCUCAAAGAGCUUCUGAAAGAACAGGAUAGCAAGAAGAAUGCAGAGAAGGAGAAAGAGAGAGAGGAAAAACAGGAGGAACUAGAGGAGCUCCUUAAAAAAAUGAAACACGUCAAAGAGGAGGAGCAAGAAGAAGAGGAGGAGAAAAAUAGAGAGAAAGCCAGGGAGGCGGAGACGGUGAACGGACAUGGUCAGGAGCAGGUUGCCACUCCUCGGGAACUGGGGACGGAAGCUGGAGAGGACGACGAUGUGAAGGAGCCUCAGCAGAAACGAAUGAUGGAGAAAGCGAGUGAUGAAAGCACCCGGCAAUUUGAAAAGGAAAGGUACAGGGACAAUGAUGAUGAUGAUGAAGAAGAUGAGGAUGUGGAGGAGGAAGACUGGGAAGAGGAAGAGUCAGAUGUGGAGAGAAAGGAUAAUGAUGAUGAUGAUGAUGCUGAGAAGGAUGAAGGAGAUGAGCUUCUGGAGAUUGAGGCUGAGCUGCGAAAAGUGACUGCAGAACUUCGAGAGCUACGUAGGGGUCAUUAAGGUCGAAAUGAUCAUGCAGAUGCAUACACACAAACACACACCCACACACCCACACACAACCACACACAGGUAAGAUGCCCUGCUAGGCCUAGCUGGUAAAGGUUUGAAUCAUACGUUCAUGUCCAGUUGCGGUCAACUAUAUAAAAGAUGUAUGUAUACUUGAGUUUGCUUUGGUUGAAAUGGCUGCUGUGUGGCACAUAUAUCAUACAAACAGCAUAUUUACAACACACACAUUGUACCUGUAUUCUGGAUUAUACAAUUAUGAAUAACAUGACACAAGACUUUUUCACAUGCGUCACACUCAGAAACAUGAACAACUAAAUAGAUACGUGGAUUGAUCAUAACGCUUUUGAUGGCAUAUAUUUCUGUAUUGUUGUUCCAUUAAACCCCCCCC
ensembl:lncRNA